UACGGCCGAUGGGUCCGCCUGCACCGCGACAUCUACACCAAAGUGGCGGCCUAUCUACAGUACAGACGCCACGCCGUCAGACUGGAGCUCCUGCCUAACAUCAAGAGGUACGAGCGCCGCGCCAUGCGCGCCUUGAACAGAUCCGUCGAGAGCCUCUUGCAGCAAGGACCUCGCUCUCGCCGGGGGGUCCUCAAGAGGCUGAGUCUCGAGUUCUACACCACCGGCAACGGCUGCUGCAUGAACCGACUCAUCGCGGAGGCCAUCGAUGCCUGGGGCGUCGAUGACCUGGACGUCAUCGCCAAGCCACUGUACUUUGAGAUGGACGUCGUCCACGCCUUUCCCAGCCAUGGCAUGUGCAAGGACCCCGGCGCCGCAUCCCUGCGAAGCCUCAAGCUUGGGGGCUGCCUGCUCCCGCCGCUGCACGAGUACAGUGCGCUCACCAUGCUCGUCCUGCGAGACAUACCGGAAUCGAGGACGCCCCCGGCCGCCUACGAGGCUGUCUUCACCUCGUGCCCAAAGCUGCAGACCCUGCACCUCAUCUCCUGCAGCUGCAGGAGCACCGACUCGGGCACAACCUUGCCGGUGGUGGUGGACGCCCCCAGCUCAGAGAUCAGAGAGCUUGUCGUGGAGAAGUGCGCAUUUCAGUGGAUACGGCUGAGGACUCUCCCCUGUCUCGAGAGGCUAGCCUCCCUGGGAACCAGAGUCUUCUUCGAGUAUAAUAACUUGAUUCCCUCCCUGAGGCAAUGCAACUUCGCCCUGCGCCUCGGUGUCAUGCUAGAAGGCGCGCGCCAAUACUUUGCAAAGCGGCUGAAGCUAGAGCUUGGCAUGUUUCUUCGGUGCACCCCCAACAUAACCAGCCUCAUUGUCCGGUUCACCGGUCCUGACAGAUGGAUCGUGCCGUCUAGCUCCCCGUUGUCGCAUUUGCCUAACCUUAGGCGGCUGCUGGUGACCGAUGUGCCGUCUUCCUGGGAUGCCUCGUGGCCUCGUCUCUUUCUUGAGAUGACGCCUGCCCUGGAGAUCCUACACGUCAACAUUGCCUCCUGCAAGGACAAGCCUGGCAAAGAAAUUUCAUGGCAGCCCAGCGAGCUUCUGCAGCAUCACUUGAAGGAGUUUGUGGUUACUGGUUUCGAGGGAACCAAAAGGCAGAUUUACCUUGUCAAUUUCGCCGUCGGAGCAUGCACGGCGUUGCGCCGUGUCGCCUUGUUCAGGAACGGGCAUGCGCAGGGAAACGGGCUCUGGGACUGGGAGAUGGUGACGCAGCCACACUCGUGGACGGACGAGGAGAAGGACUACACGCUGAAGCAGAUCAUGGAUGGGGUUUCUUCCUCACCUGCCCAACAACUAGUUUUUGGCUGA
rnacentral:rRNA from 1 species